AGAGCUUGAAAAGGAGCUUGCAGAGCUGGAGAGGUGUGGUGAGGAGCUGGAAGAUGAGAUUGAGAUGAAGAGAGAAGCGUAUGUGGAGGAGAUCUUUGAGCUGGAGUGUCGUCUUGAGGAGAUGCGGAGGCAGCAGCAUGAACUGCAGGUCCAGAUGAGGGAACAAUGUGAUGACUACGAGGAGCUGCUGGGUCAGAAGAUGGCCCGGGAAAUCGAGAUCGCUGCCUACAGAGGUUUGGUGGAAGAGGAGGAUGAGAGGCUUUGCUACCUGUGAGAGGAACCGAUGCAGACCAGACCAACCAACCUGCUUUCGGCGAUGGAUAUCCUCCCAUACAGAUUUCAUGCGUUGCCAAAACGCAACAGACCUAAGUCGGCCAUUAGAGAUCACAUGAAGCUAACCGCCACACAACCAUUUGAGCAGAUGUAAAAGUAUCAUGACAGAUUAACGAGGUCUGGAGGGCGUGCCAGGGCCAUUGAUAACAGGUCACUGGCAGGUGACCCCUGUCCUAUAAGAAAGAUGAAGUUGUCUAACAUUGGGGUGGAGGGGGAUGGGACUGGAUAGAGUGUGUAUUCAGUGUCUGUGAAAUUUCCCUAAGUGGUCUCUAUCUGUUGUGGCUACAGUCUCUGGAGCUAACUCACUGAUAUGACACACACACACACACAGAAUCAUUUACCUCCCGUUAACCCUCACUCCAGCAUGAGCCCAUUAAACGCUCUUAACCACUGACCUCUCCACUGUUCACAGCCAUUGGACAGCUCUUAUAUCCAAUAAGAUGGCCUUAACCGAUCAUGGCAGGUCACCAUUCAUUUGUUUUACAGUCAUGCAUUAAUGUGGGUUUUUACACAGAAAUGACAGUCAAGUCAGUUACACUGUUCAUGUAUACUUGCGAACUGGUAUAUUAGCUUUGCAAAUGGUUGUUGAAGUUGACAUUCUGCAGCUCCCAUACAGCUGGCCAGCAGAUAGCUUGUGUGCUGUUCCUGACUUAUUUGCUCAUUCUCUGCCCAUGACACCUGGAGGAACUUAGUCAAGUUAAAACCAGAACAAUAAAAAACAUUUU